rfam:Yersinia ruckeri strain 37551 YRO1b0000011, whole genome shotgun sequence.
AAUAUGCGUUUAACGUCCGCUGACACAACGCCGAGCGAACACAAUCUUGUUUAUCAAAACGGAUAAUUCCUAUCAUCUCAUCCUCAGAGAAACGUUCCAUCGCAUCGCUCAGACCCGAUUUGACGCCACGAGGUAAAUCACACUGGGUAAUAUCGCCAUUAACGAUUACCGUUACGUUCUCUCCUAGGCGAGUC